rnacentral:rRNA from 1 species
GACGAACGCUGGCGGCGUGCUUAACACAUGCAAGUCGAACGGGCCCGCCCCUGUUUUUGGGGGUGGGUUGAGUGGCGAACGGGUGAGUAUCACGUGAGUAACCUGCCCCCUGCUCCUGGAUAACUGCUUGAAAGGGCGGCUAAUACGGGGUGUGCCGGCUGGUCCGCAUGGGCCUGGUCGGGAUAGUUUCAUCUUCGGGUGUUUCGGUGGGGGAUGGGCUCGCGGCCUAUCAGCUUGUUGGUGGGGUGAUGGCCCACCAAGGCGGUGACGGGUAGCCGGCCUGAGAGGGUGGGCGGCCACACUGGGACUGAGACACGGCCCAGACUCCUGCGGGAGGCAGCAGUGGGGGGGAUUGCACAAUGGGCGGAAGCCUGAUGCAGCGACGUCGCGUGAGGGAUGGAGGCCUUCGGGUUGUGAACCUCUUUCUCCGGUGGGGAAGGCCCUGUCCGGUGCGGCGGGGUUGACGGUAGCCGGGUAUGAAGCGCCGGCUAACUACGUG